CACUCAGAGACAAACACUAUAUUAUAUAGUGCUGGCUGAAAUUGCCUUUUGCUCUUAAUACCUAAAUACAUAAUACAUCUGUUAAAAUGAUGGUAUUUUUAAGUAUUUCUCCUUUGCAGUCACUGCUAUUUGCUGCAGGCUUGCGUCCUACACCUGCUCAAGCAACUGCAGUUAGCUGGAUAUUAAAGGAUGGCAUGCAGCAUGUAGGAAAGCUCAUAUGUAGCAACUUGGGUGCACGGAUGGAUUCUGAGCCUAAACGUUGGAGAAUUUUAGGUUUACAUGAUGUCCAUGGAGCACUGUGCUAUGCUGUGAUUCUGCUUAUUUCUUUAAAGGAGUUGUUACUGCACGAAUUGAUUCUAUUACUUGCAUUUCUCUGUCACAUUAUAAAGAUUUUAAUUAUAUUAGCUUUCUAUGCUGCAGCUGAUGUUCUGUAUGACUUGGGGACUGGUUUAGAAGUUAUGUCUCCUUUAUGCCCACAUCUGUUUCUUGAAGUAGCCGGCCUUGGCAAUUUCGCAAAGGGAAUGGCAGUUGUUGCAGCUAGAGCAACAAGAUUGCCGAUAUAUUCUUCAUUUGCCAAAGAAGGAAAUCUUAGUGAUCUGUUUGCUAAAGGCGAGGCUAUUUCCACUCUUUUUAAUGUUCUCGGGCUCGGAGCAGGAAUUCACUUAGCAUCUAAUAUUUGUUCAUCAAUGCAGGGAAAGUUGAUUAGAGGGUCCUUUCCGAUUCUGAAAAUAUUGAAUACCCUGCAGUUGGUUGUUGCGCCACUGCUGUCUAUUAUACACGUUUACAGUGUCUGUGAAGAAAUGCGAGCUACUCCUGUCAACACAUUAAAUCCGCAGAGAACUGCAAUGAUUGUUGCCGAAUUUGUGAAGACUGGAAAAAUCUCAAGUCCUGCUGACCUAAGAUAUCAAGAAGAUCUCGUAUUUCCUGAAAGGCUGAUAGAGGAUGCUGGAAAUGUAAAGGUGGGAAGGUCUCUGCAUGAAGUAGUUAGCCCUUCAAAGCUGCGACAAUUUAAAGAAACAUUUCACGAGGAGAAGUUCCUUUUAAACCGUGGUAGUAGAUGGACUGAUAUGAUACUGGAGCACGAUGCAACUGGUGAAGAUGCACUGAGGGGUUGGAUGGUUGCUGCUUAUGCUUCAGAUAUGGAACGAUUAGCUAGGGAACCAAGUACAAAUAUCUCACAAGAGGCUUAUGAGAAGAUGAAUUCUGUGUUCUCCCCAUUUUUAGCUGAGCUGCAGGCAAAAGGGUGGCAUACUGAUCGAUUUCUUGAUGGUACUGGAAGUCGUUUUGUGUUUUAGUUCUGUAAGUAUCAAAUUCUUGGUACUUUGUUAUCCUCUUACAUCGGUAUAGUAUAUUGUCAUGAAGACACAAGAUUCACUGCAUCAUUUAGGAAGACUUUGGGGAAAUGUGUCUUGUGAAAGCAAUACAGAAUCUCUUACUACUGGGACAAAAUCAAGUACAUGUCCUGUGGGGAUAGCUGAAAACGUAGACAGUGAUGAAUGGAUGUAUAAGAGGGGAUGAAAUAAAUUUGAGACUUCCAAACGUUUUUUAUUAUAUAAAUAAAGGAAGUAUUAUAUUAAUACUAAGGAGGUUCUGUUAUGAAAUAUUAUAUUACAUAGUGGAUGUCUAUAACUCCUAAAGAAGUUACUCCCACUACUCUUUUCCAUUAACCUCCCAUUACAUUGUACCAUUAUAGUUGUAAUUCUCACACUUACAUAAUCUCCUCUGUGAUCUUCCCUCAUGAUCUUAAUAGUUAAUACCAUGUUCAUGGCGUCCC